rnacentral:rRNA from 1 species
GUGCCAGCAGCCGCGGUAAUACGUAGGUGGCAAGCGUUGUCCGGAUUUACUGGGCGUAAAGGAUGCGUAGGCGGAUAUUUAAGUCAGAUGUGAAAUACCCGGGCUCAACUUGGGUGCUGCAUUUGAAACUGGAUAUCUAGAGUGCGGGAGAGGUAAGUGGAAUUCCUAGUGUAGCGGUGAAAUGCGUAGAGAUUAGGAAGAACACCAGUGGCGAAGGCGACUUACUGGACCGUAACUGACGCUGAGGCAUGAAAGCGUGGGGAGCAAACAGGAUUAGAUACCCUCGUAGUCC